rnacentral:miRNA from 1 species
GGGGAGACGGGCUCAAGGAUC